UAGAAUUUCAAUUUGCUACCUUAACCAUAAACUCGGGUACACAUUUCCAAUCUGUACUGACUAAUUGUUAUCCGUCACCAGCUUGUGAUCCAAGCUUUGCUCUCCUGAUAGAUAGAUCUAAGUCAACCAUUGGAAUAAGGCUGUUGGUGAAUUCAGUUAGUAAUAUUGAAAUGACAGUCAGUGAAUGGAUACCAUACAGGGUAGGACAGACUAAUGCAGUACAAGUACAUGUCACUCUACACGAUGUUGUAUUCGAAGUUAAUCAGAUGUCUAAAGUUAUUCAUCUUGAUGGAUCCAUAUAUAAAAGGCAGUCGGGAUUUGCUUUUGGUUUAGGUGGACCAUAUAACAGCUUCGAAGGAUAUUUAGAUGAGAUAAAAAUAUCGUCCUGCUGAUCUGAGUCGAGAUAAUUGGCAUGAGCAACUAGGAGUCAAGAGUGUUAAUAUGGAGGAAUGUCAGAUUCCUUUCAGAUCUAAUUCCCCUUGAAAGAAAGUGUGUGGAUAAAAGGAUUGUGUUAAACACACUCAAUAGUGAAAGGAAGGGAAAUGUAAUGUGCAUUGAUACAAAUUCGAAUGAGACUAGUCUUCUGAUAGUGCUAAAUUUAUUG